AAAAGAUAAUAAGGUAUUGUUUUCUUAUUUCAUAUGUGAUUUCUAAUGUUUUGUUUUAAUUUUGUUAUCAUUCACGUAUUCAUUUUGUAUGAAAGCAAUAUUCUUAAUAACACUAAUUGUUCAUCCAAUAUAACGUUCUAAUUUUAUAUCCACUUCUUCCUUCAGGUCUUCCUCCUCUGUGAUUCCUCCACUUCACAGUGAAGACACUCAGGACUGCAGAGAGGGCUGAACACAUAAAAGAAGCUGAACAUCAUGCAGCGUAUUCAGUUUCACUGGACUACAUGUUGAUCUGCUCUGCACUGCUCUCAGAGUUCAAGGAUCAGGUGUGUGACUGCAAGGAAGAGUCAUCAGUCAGUCAUCACUGUCCGAGUGACAGCCCCACCUUUAUGCAGCUUCAAGCUCCUCCCUAAACCAGCUGUAAAGGCCUCUCCUCCUCCAUGUAGCUAUAGUAACACUAUCCUGACGUGAUGACUGGAGCAGUGGAUCUACAGCCGCUGCACAGGUCAAAGGUCAUAAUGUUACAGGUCUUCAAAGCAUACACUACUAACUCAUGAACAGUAUUACUACAGGACACCUGUCUAUUUUGUUUGUUUCAUCUCUACCGUAUUUGAUCUAACAAUAUACGUUUUCCUUGUGUUUCAUCGCAUUUUUUUUUGUUGA